GAUGAAGAACGUAGCGAAAUGCGAUACGUAAUGUGAAUUGCAAAUUCAGUGAAUCAUCGAGUCUUUGAACGCACAUUGCGCCCCCUGGUAUUCCGGGGGGCAUGCCUGUCCGAGCGUCAUUGCUGCCCUCAAGCACGGCUUGUGUGUUGGGCCCCGUCCUCCGAUCCCGGGGGACGGGCCCGAAAGCCAGCGGCGGCACCGCGUCCGGUCCUCGAGCGUAUGGGGCUUUGUCACCCGCUCUGUAGGCCCGGCCGGCGCUUGCCGAUCAACCCAAAUUUUUUAUCCAGGUUGACCUCGGAUCAGGUAGGGAUACCCGCUGAACUUAAGCAUAUCAAUAAGCGGAGGA
rnacentral:misc_RNA from 1 species